CGCCCCUCCACUGGGGCCGUGUGCAACUCAUGAAUAGACUACGGUAGCGCGCUGCCCUCGCGCAUCACUCGACCUCCGCGCACCGCAGUCUCGGCAUAUCCGCCCUGAACUGUAAACGCGUUCGGGAGCUCGACUCUCGUAGCGAAUCGACGAACAGGAUAAGUUAAGCGAGCACAAUGCCUUUCAAACCAGCAGAUAAUCCCAAGUGUCCGAAAUGCGGCAAGUCGGUGUACGCAGCCGAGGAGCGAGUGGCCGGAGGGCUCAAAUGGCACAAGAUGUGCUUCAAGUGCGGAUUGUGCCAGAAAUUGCUGGACUCCACCAACUGCUCAGAACACGAAGGUGAACUGUUCUGCAAAGUGUGCCAUGCGCGCAAAUUCGGACCAAAAGGCUACGGCUUCGGUGGUGGCGCCGGCUGUCUGUCUAUGGAUGCUGGUGAACAUCUGAAGGCUGACCAGGACGUAAGAACCAACGGAGCAUGCCUUGAGCCUCGAGUCAUCGCGAAGGCCCCGCCUGGUGAGGGUUGCCCCCGCUGCGGCGGUUACGUAUAUGCCGCUGAGCAGAUGUUGGCUCGUGGGAAGGCGUGGCACAGGGAGUGCUUCAAGUGCGGCGACUGUCACAAACGCCUGGACUCAACCAACUGUUGCGAAGGCCCAGACAAAGACAUUUACUGCAAAGUAUGUUAUGGGAAGAAGUUUGGUCCUAAGGGAUACGGGUACGGAAAGGGAGCUGGAGUGUUGCAGAGUGACCCUUACGCCAAUGGGAUGCUACGCACAAAGAUUUGGUCCUAGAGGGAUUGGACACGGGGGGAUGUCAUCCCUGGGUCUUAUGUGUGAUAUAAAGGACAUGGAGUGGCAAAGUGAUCAAGCACCCAAGACCACGCUAAUCGACACUGCGGCUAUUAAAGCUCCCCCAGGCAAGGGCUGCCCACGUUGUGGUGGGGUGGUAUUCGCAGCAGAACAAGUUUUGGCGAAGGGUCGCGAGUGGCAUCGCAAAUGCUUCAAAUGCCGCGACUGUACCAAGACGCUGGACUCAAUCAUUGCCUGCGACGGCCCAGACAGUGAAGUAUACUGCAAGACUUGCUACGGCAAGAAAUGGGGACCUCAUGGAUACGGAUUCGCUUGCGGAUCCGGAUUCCUGCAGACUGAUGGAUUGACCGAGGAUGAAAUCUCCGCCAACCGCCCUUUCUACAACCCUGACACGACGUCGAUCAAGGCACCCAAAGGGCAGGGUUGCCCACGAUGUGGCGGCAUGGUCUUUGCGGCGGAACAACAGCUGGCUAAAGGAACUAUGUGGCAUAAGAAGUGCUUCAACUGUGCAGAAUGCCACAGGCCUCUGGACUCAAUGCUGGCUUGUGAUGGCCCUGACAAAGAGAUCCAUUGCAAGGCAUGCUAUGCGAAGCUGUUUGGGCCUAAAGGAUUUGGUUUUGGUCAUGCACCUACCCUAGUAUCCACUGAUGCUGAGCCCACCAUUACAUACACAGAACAACUUCCAUUCACUGGGCAGAAGGCGGCUAAAGGCCAGGGCUGCCCUCGAUGUGGAUUCCCAGUCUAUGCUGCAGAACAGAUGCACUCCAAGAAUGGCACAUGGCACAGAAGGUGCUUCUCAUGUGCGGAUUGCCAUAGAUCUCUUGAUUCCACCAACUUGAAUGACGGACCCAAUGGUGAAAUCUACUGCCGAGGCUGCUACGGCAGGAACUUUGGUCCGAAAGGUGUUGGUUUCGGAAUGGGCGCAGGCACAUUAACCAUGGCAUAAUUUUACUAUGAAGCUGGACUUCAUAGGGAAAGAAAUUGAGUAAGGUAGCAUGAAAGGAAUUUAAUCUAUUGUAUAUUGCUACCCGUCUGUUGAUCUUUUCAUCAUACCAUUUAUUAAACUGGUGUUAAUAAUGGUUGAUACUACCCAAAGAGACUAAUGAUAGAUAAAUGAUAGGUUUAUAUGAUUAAGUGCAACUAUUUUGUUAUGAAGAUAUAAAUUAAAGGUUACAUUCCUUUCAUAUAUGUACAAAUUCGUGCUCGAUGUGUCUGGGCCCUUAGUUUAUACAUUCGUCAUAAAAUAUUGUAGUAAGUAAGAUGCAUAGACUCUAACGUAGGCCUAAGAAAUAUAAAUUAAAAAAAUUAAAAAAAAAAUCGAUCAAAUUAAAAUAAAUAAAAAAUGGCAUUGUGAACAAAUUUACCUAUCAUUCGAUCGCAUCAGCGAUGGGAAGGUAAAAUAAAACUAUCCUGUAAACGCGGAUAAGAUUGCAAAUAAGCAAUCGUUUCGACCGACCAGAUCUUGCUGUUAAGGUCUGAAGUGUCUAUACAUAUUUUUAUACACAAUUGUAUUGUAUAUAGUUUUAUCGUAUCUUAUUAUAUACUGCUUGCACAAUGAGCUGUGCAUAACUAAGUAAUGCUUUGGUGCUUUUGCUAUGUAACAUACACAAUUUAUAAGAUGUAAACAUUAAGACAGCUUAUUGCACAUGAUAAAUAUUAUAUGAAUAUGGUAUAAUUUACAAUUUUUUAUUGAAUAAAAUAUACAUUUGAA